rnacentral:rRNA from 1 species
AUACGGAGGGAGCAAGCGUUAUUCGGAAUCACUGGGCGUAAAGGACGCGUAGGCGGGUUUGUAAGUCAGGUGUGAAAUCCUACAGCUCAACCGUAGAACUGCACUUGAAACUACAGACCUAGAGUAUGGAAGGGGCAGAUGGAAUUAGUGGUGUAGGGGUAAAAUCCGUAGAUAUCACUAGGAAUACCGAAAGCGAAGGCGAUCUGCUGGGACAUUACUGACGCUGAGGCGCGAAAGCGUGGGGAGCAAACAGGAUUAGAAACCCCAGUAGUCC